GCCAGUUUAGCUUAAUAGUAAAGUAUUUGACUCGCUAUCAUAUGGACGUGAGUUCUCGUCUCUUGGCUGGUC
rnacentral:tRNA from 1 species